AACAAUCCCCCGGGGAGCUGGUGCAACCGGCUGAGAGGAAAAUGUGAUUUUCGACCCGCGAACUUGAACUGGGUAAUGCCAGCGAAAAAGGAGUUAUAAUGGAAGA
rnacentral:ncRNA from 2 species